GGGGAUAUAGCUCAGUUGGUAGAGCGACGCGUUCGCAAUGCGUAGGUCAGGAGUUCGAAUCUCCUUAUCUCCACCA
rnacentral:tRNA from 1 species